rnacentral:lncRNA from 1 species
AUAAGAAUGAGAGGUUCAGCAAUUCCAAUUGCGGUUCAAAUGGUUGCAGUGUUGUAAUACGUGAAGUCUUGCUUGAGAAUACUCUGGGCACUUGGUUGUGGAAGGUAGAAUAGAAAUUGUAACAACAAAAUCCUAAUUCUAAUAGAACACUAACAAUGCUAAAUAAACUUUAAUCAAAUUUAGAAAAAUCUCAAAGGAAUUCCAAAGAAAUAAUAAGAAAUCUUAAAGAAAUAUUAGAAUGAUUACAAACAUAUCUCAAAUACAUUUCAAUUUAAUCUUAAUUUAAUCCUAGUUGAAAUCUUAUUGGACUUCAUUCAAACUUUAGGUCAAAACUAACUAAAUCUUAAAUCCUAAACAAACUCAAAUAAAAUCUUAAAUCCUAAAUCAAACCCUAAUCAAAUCCUAAAUCCUAACCAAAUCCUAAAUCCUAAUCCUAAAUCCUAAUCCUAAAUCAAAUCCUAACCAAAUUCUAACCCUAAUUUUAAAUCCUAAAUCAAACCCUAAUCAGAUCCUAAUCCUAAAUCAAAUCCUAACCAAACUUUAAUCCUAAAUGAAACCCUAAAUCCUAAACCAAACUCUAAUCCUAAAUCAAACCCUAACCAAAUCCUAAUCCUAAAUCAAAUCCUAACCAAAUCCUAAAUCUUAAAUCAAAUCCUAAUCAAACUCUAAACCCUAAAUCAAACCCUAAAUCCUAAACCAAACUCUAAUCCUAAAUCAAAUCCUAA